GACGAACGCUGGCGGCGUGCUUAACACAUGCAAGUCGAACGGAAAGGCCCUGCUUUUGUGGGGUGCUCGAGUGGCGAACGGGUGAGUAACACGUGAGUAACCUGCCCUUGACUUUGGGAUAACUUCAGGAAACUGGGGCUAAUACCGGAUAGGAGCUCCUGCUGCAUGGUGGGGGUUGGAAAGUUUCGGCGGUUGGGGAUGGACUCGCGGCUUAUCAGCUUGUUGGUGGGGUAGUGGCUUACCAAGGCUUUGACGGGUAGCCGGCCUGAGAGGGUGACCGGCGACAUUGGGACUGAGAGACGGCCCAGACUCCUACGGUAGGCAGCAGUGGGGAAUAUGGCGCAAUGGGCGGAAGCCUGAUGCAGCAACGCCGCGUGCGGGAUGACGUCCUACGAGUUGUAAACCGCUGUCGCCUGUGACGAAGCGUGAGUGACGGUAAUGGGUAAAGAAGCACCGGCUAACUACGUG
rnacentral:rRNA from 1 species